GAUGAACGCUAGCUACAGGCUUAACACAUGCAAGUCGAGGGGAAACGAUAUUGGAAGCUUGCUUCCGAUAGGCGUCGACCGGCGCACGGGUGAGUAACGCGUAUCCAACCUGCCCAUCACUUGGGGAUAACCUUGCGAAAGUAAGACUAAUACCCAAUGAUAUCUCUAGAAGACAUCUGAAAGGGAUUAAAGAUUUAUCGGUGAUGGAUGGGGAUGCGUCUGAUUAGCUUGUUGGCGGGGUAACGGCCCACCAAGGCUACGAUCAGUAGGGGUUCUGAGAGGAGGGUCCCCCACAUUGGAACUGAGACACGGUCCAAACUCCUACGGGAGGCAGCAGUGAGGAAUAUUGGUCAAUGGGCGAGGGCCUGAACCAGCCAAGUAGCGUGCAGGAUGACGGCCCUAUGGGUUGUAAACUGCUUUUAUAAGGGAAUAAAGUGAGCCUCGUGAGGCUUUUUGCAUGUACCUUAUGAAUAAGGACCGGCUAAUUCCGUGCCAGCAGCCGCAGUAA
rnacentral:rRNA from 1 species